GACGAACGCUGGCGGCGUGCUUAACACAUGCAAGUCGAACGAAGAGCGACGGAAGCUUGCUUCUAUCAAUCUUAGUGGCGAACGGGUGAGUAACGCGUAAUCAACCUGCCCUUCAGAGGGGGACAACAGUUGGAAACGACUGCUAAUACCGCAUACGAUCUAACCUCGGCAUCGAGGAUAGAUGAAAGGUGGCCUCUACAUGUAAGCUAUCACUGAAGGAGGGGAUUGCGUCUGAUUAGCUAGUUGGAGGGGUAACGGCCCACCAAGGCGAUGAUCAGUAGCCGGUCUGAGAGGAUGCACGGCCACAUUGGGACUGAGACACGGCCCAGACUCCUACGGGAGGCAGCAGUGGGGAAUCUUCCGCAAUAGACGAAAGUCUGACGGAGCAACGCCGCGUGAGUGAUGACGGCCGUCGGGUUGUAAAGCUCUGUUAAUCGGGACGAAAGGCCUUCUUGCGAAUAGUGAGAAGGAUUGACGGUACCGGAAUAGAAAGCCACGGCUAACUACGUG
rnacentral:rRNA from 1 species